rnacentral:rRNA from 1 species
AGAACGAACGCUGGCGGCAGGCCUAACACAUGCAAGUCGAACGCCCCGCAAGGGGAGUGGCAGACGGGUGAGUAACACGUGGGAACGUGCCCAAAGGUACGGAACAACUCCGGGAAACUGGAGCUAAUACCGUAUGUGCCCGAAAGGGGAAAGAUUCAUCGCCUUUGGAUCGGCCCGCGUCUGAUUAGCUAGUUGGCGGGGUAAUGGCCACCAAGGCGACGAUCAGUAGCUGGUCUGAGAGGAUGACCAGCCACACUGGGGACUGAGACACGGCCCAGACUCCUACGGGAGGCAG